rnacentral:rRNA from 1 species
CUACGGGCGGCAGCAGUGGGGAAUAUUGCACAAUGGGGGAAACCCUGAUGCAGCGAUGCCGCGUGAACGAAGAAGGCUUUCGAGUCGUAAAGUUCUGUUCUUAGGGAAGAAAAUGACGGUACCUAAGGAGAAAGCACCGGCUAAAUACGUGCCAGCAGCCGCGGUAAUAGGUAUGGUGCAAGCGUUGUCCGGAAUUACUGGGCGUAAAGAGUUCGUAGGCGGUCAAAUAAGUCAGAAGUGAAAGGCUACGGCUCAACCGUAGUAAGCUUUUGAAACUGUUUGACUUGAGUACUGGAGAGGAAAGUGGAAUUCCUAGUGUAGCGGUGAAAUGCGUAGAUAUUAGGAGGAACACCAGUGGCGAAGGCGGCUUUCUGGACAGUAACUGACGCUGAGGAACGAAAGCGUGGGGAGCAAACAGGAUUAGAUACCCGUGUAGUC